AACGGACAAAGUUUUAAUAAUUUUAUUCUAAUCCCGCUGGCCCCAUUAAUGGGGACACGGCUAAUGGGGCCAACA